UACAAUGUUUUGACUCUUCGUUUUAUUUGAAAUUUUUUACGAUUAAUAUUUUUAUUUUUACUAGAUGAUAAAAUAUAAAUAGUACUUUAUAUGUGACUAAUUUUUUAAAGUUUUUUAAUAAAAUUUUUAAAUAAGACGAAUGAUCAAACGUUAGAUAUAGAAAAAC
rnacentral:pre_miRNA from 1 species